rnacentral:rRNA from 1 species
AUUGAACGCUGGCGGCAGGCCUAACACAUGCAAGUCAAACGAGUGGCGGACGGGUGAGUAAUGUCUGGGAAACUGCCCGAUGGAGGGGGAUAACUACUGGAAACGGUAGCUAAUACCGCAUACCAUCGGAUGUGCCCAGAUGGGAUUAGCUAGGAGGUGGGGUAGCGGCUCACAAAGGCAACGAUGCAUAGCCGACCUGAGAGGAAUACCAGCCACAUUGGAACUGAGACACGGUCCAGACUCCUACGGGAGGCAGCAGUGGGGAAUAUUGCACAAUGGGCGAAAGCCUGAUGCAGCCAUGCCGCGUGUAUGAAGAAGGUCUUCGGGUUGUAAAGUACUUUCAGCGAGGAGGCGUUACUCGCAGAAGAAGCACCGGCUAACUCCGUGCCAGCAGCCGCGGUAAUUC